GCACGAAUGGCAUAAUGAUGGCGGCGCUGUCUCCAGCAGAGACUCAGUGAAAUCGAAAUCGCAGUGAAGAUGCUGUGUACCCGCGGCUAGACGGAAAGACCCCGUGAACCUUUACUACAGCUUUACAUUGAACUUUGACCUUACCUGUGUAGGAUAGGUGGGAGGCUUUGAAGCAGGCACGCCAGUGUCUGUGGAGCCAUCCUUGAAAUACCACCCUGGUAAUGUUGGGGUUCUAACUCAAGCUUAACAGAGCUGAGGACAAUGUAUGGUGGGUAGUUUGACUGGGGCGGUCUCCUCCUAAAGAGUAACGGAGGAGUACGAAGGUGUGCUCAGAACGGUCGGAAAUCGUUCGAAGAGUAUAAAGGCAAAAGCGCGCUUAACUGCGAGACCCACAAGUCGAGCAGAUACGAAAGUAGGUCUUAGUGAUCCGGUGGUUCUGUAUGGAAGGGCCAUCGCUCAACGGAUAAAAGGUACUCUGGGGAUAACAGGCUGAUACCGCCCAAGAGUUCAUAUCGACGGCGGUGUUUGGCACCUCGAUGUCGGCUCAUCUCAUCCUGGGGCUGAAGCAGGUCCCAAGGGUAUGGCUGUUCGCCAUUUAAAGAGGUACGCGAGCUGGGUUUAGAACGUCGUGAGACAGUUCGGUCCCUAUCUACCGUGGGCGUUGGAAAUUUGAGAGGAUCUGCUCCUAGUACGAGAGGACCAGAGUGGACGAACCUCUGGUGUUUCGGUUGUGACGCCAGUCGCAUUGCCGAGUAGCUAUGUUCGGAUGGGAUAACCGCUGAAAGCAUCUAAGCGGGAAGCCCACCUUAAGAUUAGAUUUCCCUAAAGAGCCGUUGUAGACUACGACGUUGAUAGGUUGGGUGUGGAAGCAUAGUGAUAUGUGUAGCUAACCAAUACUAAUUGCUCGUUUGGCUUGACUAUACAACGCCUAA
rnacentral:rRNA from 1 species